rnacentral:rRNA from 1 species
GGCAAGCUACUAAGGGCGCACGGCGGAUGCCUAGGAGCAAGGAGCCGAUGAAGGGCGUGGUAAGCUGCGAUAAGCUGCGAGGAGCCGCAAACAGGCGUUGAUCCGCAGAUCCCCGAAUGGGAGAACCCGGCCACCGCAUGGGUGGUCACCCACCGCUGAACCCAUAGGCGGUGUGGAGGGAACCUGGGGAACUGAAACAUCUCAGUACCCAGAGGAAGAGAAAUCGAACGAGAUUCCCUCAGUAGCGGCGAGCGAACGGGGAAGAGCCUAAACCAAUCGGGCAUGCCCGAUUGGGGUCGUGGGACCGACAUCAGAGGACGCCUUCCGCUUAGCAGAAGUGUCUGGAAAGGCACGCCAUAGCGGGUGACAGCCCCGUAUGCGGAAAGUGGAACGCCUCGUCGGAAUCCCGAGUAGCACGGGAUAAGUGGAACCCUGUGCGAAUCUGCCCGGACCACCGGGUAAGGCUAAAUACUCCUUGCUACCGAUAGCGUAACCAGUACCGUGAGGGAACGGUGAAAAGCACCCCGGCGAGGGGAGUGAAACAGAACCUGAAACCGUGCGCUUACAAGCAGUCGGAGGACUAUACCCCUCUGGGGGACAGUCUGACGGCGUGCCUUUUGCAGAAUGAGCCGGCGAGUUGUGCUCAGCGGCAAGGUUAAGCGUCUCAGACGCGGAGCCGUAGCGAAAGCGAGUCCACACAGGGCGACCCAGUCGCUGGGUGCAGACCCGAAACCGCGCGAUCUAACCCUGGUCAGGCUGAAGCCGUGGUAACACACGGUGGAGGGCCGAACUGGUGACCGUUGAAAAGGUCUCGGAGGAACUGGGGUUAGUGUGGUGAAAUGCCAAUCGAGCGCGGAGAUAGCUGGUUCUCCCCGAAAUGCAUUGAGGUGCAGCCUCACGCGCUAUGCUAUGCAGGUAGAGCCACUGGAUGGGCUAGGGGCCCUACCAGGUUACCGAACCCAACCAAACUCCGAAUGGCAUAGCAGGAAGCGUGGGAGUGAGACAGCGACGGAUGAGCGCCGUUGUCAAAAGGGCAAUAGCCCAGAUCGCCCGCUAAGGUCCCUAAACACAGGCUAAGUGUUAAAGGAUGUAGGGUCGCGUAAACAACCAGGAGGUUGGCUUAGAAGCAGCCAUCCUUUAAACAGUGCGUAACAGCUGACUGGUCGAAUGUGACCCUGCGCCGACAAUGUAAGGGGGCUCAAGCCUGUUACCGAAGCGGCGGGCUCCCAGCAAUGGGAGCGGUAGGGGAGCGUUCUGCUCGCAGUGAAGGUGGAGCGGAAGCACCACUGGAGCGUGCAGAAGUGAGAAUGCCGGCACGAGUAGCGAGAAGACGGGUGAGAAUCCCGUCCGCCGAAAGCCUAAGGGUUCUUCAGGCAGGUUCGUCCGCUGAAGGUUAGGCGGUCCUAAGUCGAGGGCGAAAAGCCGUAGGCGAAGGGCAGUGGGUCAACAUUCCCACCCCAGGUGGUGGAGCCAAGCGGUGACGCUUCAGAAUCGGUCGGGCGCAGAGUUGGAAGGCUGCGCUCGCCUCAGGGGCAACGCUGGGGCGACGAAGGGAUCCUUCGGGUGAACGAAGCGACUGUGACUGGAGCCGAGAAAACCCGUGUAGCGUUGAAACCACCUGACCGUACCGCAAACCGACACAGGUAGGCGAGGCGAGGAGCCUCAGGCGCGCGAGAGAAGUCCCGCUAAGGAACUCGGCAAAUUGACCCCGUAACUUCGGGAGAAGGGGUGCCUCGAAAGAGGUCGCAGCAAAGCGGGCCCGGCGACUGUUUACCAAAAACACAGCUCUCUGCGAAGGGGAAACCCGAUGUAUAGGGGGCGACGCUUGGCCAAUGCCCGUAGGUUAAGGGGAGGGGUCAGCCGCAAGGUGCAGCCCUGAACUGAAGCCCGGGUGAAUGCCGGCCGUAACUCUAACGGUUCGUCACAGGGCCGUUGUAAAAUCUGGCUAUAUGCUGGAACAGCUCGUGUAUCCCACACUACCGAGGAGGUGACAAUGUGAUGGGUGGAGCCAAUCAGCAGGAAAGACUUGAAGUCACCGAAGAGGCGAAAUGGUUCCUCGCCGGGUUCAUCGAAGGCGAAGGCUCGCUGCUGGUGAGCAUCAAACACCACGCAACCAGCCGCUACGGAUACUAUGUUGACCCAGAGUUCCAUCUGGUGCAACACUGCAGCGGACUGCCCCUGCUCAAACUCGCCCAGCAAGUCUUCGGCACAGGACGCAUCUUCCCCAAACCGGGAAGCCCCAACUGCUAUGUCUACGCCAUCCACUGUAGGCGUAGCCUGUGGGAAAAGGUCGUGCCCUACUUCGAAAAGUAUGUGGCGCCCUUUUCAUGCAAGCGCGAAACCUUCUAUCGGUUCCGCGAAAUCCUGGAGCUGAUGAACCAAGGGGAACACCGCCGCCCUGAGGGGCUGGCGCGCAUCGUCGAGAAGGCGUAUGCGAUGAACCCAGCCGCUAAGGGAAAGCAACGGCUUCGACCGCUGCAAGAGGUGAUUUCAAGAAUCCUCAGAGACCAUACGCCAGACGCUCCGCAACACCCUGCGGAGUGAUGAUAUGGUCCAGUCCCUAUGGCGACAUAGGGGGCAACUGCCUAUGGUAGCGAAAUUCCUUGUCGCGUAAAUUGCGACCCGCACGAAAAGCGUAACGACUGGGCCACUGUCUCAGCGGGACUCUCGGUGAAACUGUAGCACCCGUGAAGAUGCGGGUUACCUGCGGUAGGACGGAAAGACCCUAUGGAGCUUUACUACAGCUUGAGAUUGCAUUUCGGUAUGUCAUGUAGAGCGUAGGUGGGAGCCUCGGCGCCAAUGGAACACCACCCUUGACCUACUGGAAUGCUAACCUGCGCCGUGAUCCGGCGUGGAGACAGUCUUAGGCGGGUAGUUUGACUGGGGCGGUCGCCUCAACAUGGGGCGCCCUGAUGGCAACAUCAGGGGCAAACUCGGCUAUAUGCUGGGAAGUCCGUCCCCUCACUUCAAGCCCUCUCCGUGCUUGAAGGAAGGGGUGUAGUGUCCAGCGCUAGUGGCGAACACGCCACUGAAAAUGCGACUGGCGCGGACAAUCAGCAGGGAAGUCUUCGUGACCCCUCAACGACUGUACGCCGAGCAUCCAUGCAGCGCAUGGAUGGUGAGACAGUCUGAACUUCCGAGCGAUCGGAAGCCUCUCCAUGAGGCGUCCAGCAACACAGCGGAGGACGACAUGGCACGCAACCACGCACUCGAAGCCUACAAAGAGACGCUGAAACUUACCCGCGUGCAGCGCGAAACACUGGUCGGUCUGCUAUUGGGCGACGCGCACCUCGAAACCCAAAACCGAGGGCGCACCUAUCGCCUCAAAAUCGAGCAGUCGGACAAGCACGCCGCGUAUGUGCAGCACCUCUACACCCUCUUCGAAGCGUGGGUACUGACACCGCCACAACAAAAAUCCACAGGCAAGUGGUGGUUUCAGACGAUUAGCCAUGGCGCGUUCCGCUACUAUGCGCAGCAGUUUUAUCGCGACGGACGCAAGGUCGUCCCUGCGCAGAUUCAUCGCCUGCUCAAACCGCGAAGCUUAGCGUACUGGUUCAUGGACGACGGUUCCACUAAAGACCGCCACUCCAGAGCUGUGGUUCUCCACACGCAAGGCUUUGCACAGGCGGAGGUCGCGCGACUGGCGCAAACGCUCACAGAAAAGUUUGCGCUGGAGACCUAUCUGCGUCGCCAGUCGGAAGGGCAUCAGGUCGUCAUUCGGGGCGCAAGCCUCGAGCGGUUCCUCGAACUGGUAGAGCCGUACCUGAUCCCUGAAAUGCGAUACAAGCUGCCGCCUGCUGGGCGAACGCAAUUGCCUAAACGGUAACGGAGGCGUCCAAAGGUCCGCUCAGCGCGGUCGGAAAUCGCGCGUCGAGUGCAAGGGCAUAAGCGGGCUUGACUGUGAGACCAACGGGUCGAGCAGAUGCGAAAGCAGGGCCUAGUGACCCUCUGGCUGUGCGUGGGCACGCCAGGGUUCAACGGAUAAAAGCUACCCUAGGGAUAACAGGCUGAUCCUGCCCGAGCGUCCACAGCGACGGCGGGGUUUGGCACCUCGAUGUCGGCUCGUCGCAUCCUGGGGCUGAAUAGGGUCCCAAGGGUUGGGGGGUUCACCCAUUAAAGCGGCACGCGAGCUGGGUUCAGAACGUUAGCCCAACAGGGCGUGGCGUCCCACAGGAGUAAUCCUGUGGUGCCUACCGGCUCAUAUCGGUAGACCCCUCCUGCAGUCACCGAACGCUGCAGAGGGCAAUACCGAGGGAAGAACGGGAGCUGAAGAUGAAGGAACCUGAUUUCUGCAGUAAUGCGGUGCAAGCUGCCGUUCCCCGUAACGACUGAAGGCUUUACGCCUGAGAUGGGCGUCCUGCCCUAAGCAAGGGCAAAUCUAUGGCGCUCAUCACACGCCGGCUCCUCCUUGUCCUUCGGGAGGAUGGAGGUAUAGUCUACACCCUUGGAAACAAGGGAGAAAUGUGCGUGAGACAGUUCGGUCCCUAUCCACCGCAGGCGUAGGAGACUUGAGGGGAGCUGGCCCUAGUACGAGAGGACCGGGCUGGACUGACCUCUGGUGUACCAGUUGUCCCGCCAGGGGCAGACGCUGGGUAGCCAUGUCGGGACGGGAUAAGCGCUGAAAGCAUCUAAGCGCCAAGCCCACCCCAAGAUAAGGUCUCCCAUCCGGGCAACGGAGUAAGGUCCCCAGUAGAUGACUGGGUUGAUAGGCGGCAGGUGUAAGCGCAGUAAUGCGUUGAGCUGAGCCGUACUAAUUGACCGAGGGCUUGCCUA